GGACCAAUUGCUAUAUUGCCUUAAGACUUUGCAGUCAUUUUGGCUUAAGAUUCUGAUCUUAAUGAUACCCAUCUAUCAAUUUCAUUGCAUGAAUAUGGAUAAGAUGUAGGUUGACCAAAUUGGGUACAAACUAUGCUGAAGGAUUUGAUAAAGAACCUUGCUGUUCUUUGACUUAACAUGAAUUUUAUAACUAUUCUAACUUGAGUUAUCCUUUGAUAUAAGAAACUUUAUAUAUAUCAUUACACUAUCACAUAUUUAAUUUAUUUAUAUGAGUAAAUUACAAAAAUCUCUUAAAGUUUAUGUUUAUUAUAUGUACAUCCAAUAGUUUGAAAAACCUACAUUUACCCCUAGCUAAACUAACAGCAUUAAUAAAACCAUUUACUUUACGUUAAAGGUCAAGAUUGCCCCUUCCUAUCUUCCCAUUUACAUCUAAUAACUCCAUCACUUUCUUGUAGGGUUUCGGAUGGUGCAGUGAAGGACUAGUGUUUAAAAUUUUUCAUUCAAACACCCAAGUACACCGAAACCCUAAUACCCAGAAUCAUUUGACUAUAGCAAUCAAAGCAUAAAUAAAUAAUUAGGAUAUGAAAAAUACCUAUAUUCACUAAUGAUUUCCACAGACACAUAAGUAUAUGCCCUUCAAUGGUGAUCCACGCAGAAACUGUAUCAAGGAUAAUGCUCCUUCUUGAUCCUUCAAGAGUUCUAUCCCCUAAAACUUGAAUAGCCUCACAUUGGUCAAGUUUCUUCAAGAACUUCACUUCACCCUUUCGAAGACUCUACUGGACUUUUCAAACCUCUCCUUCAGAACCUUCUUUUAUCCUUGUCUAGACUAGAAUUAGGCUUUGUGUUAAAUACAAAAGUCUUGUCCUAAAACUAGAAGGGCUGUAGGAGGGAAGGGAGAGUAAUUUGGAUGGAAUUUAGAAUGAUCUGAAUGCCCAGGGCCUUUUAUAGGUGAGAAAGGGGUGUGUGGGGAAGAGUCAUGACUCUUCCUCACACCCCAUGAGUUGUUGCAUAUCAGAGAAAGAGAGCCUUCAAAUAGAAGGAUUCUUCCAAGAAAAUGUGACUCCUUCACCCCGUGCGCAUGCCAUUCGAUCGGUGUUUAUGCAUCCUUUCCUAUUUUAGGUAAAUCUAAAACAUGCCAUGUGUAAUCCCAUUUGAAUUUGAAUUCAAAUGGCAGGAUUACCAAAUAUGGGAUGCUCCUUUUGUUGGAUUAGGUGGUUUCAUGCAUGUAAUUUUAAAUUAUCUUUUAAUUAAAUAGUGGAAGUAAAUUUAGAUUAAAUAUUUUAAUCUAAACAUGCAUUAGAUCUUAUCUACAAACUAUCUAAAAUGGACCUACAAUAUAAAUAUAACUGUGCAUCUGAAAUCUGAUCUAACAUUUAAUCUAUCAAGAGAAGAUCCGAUCUCUAUAUCUUUGCAUGGGUCAAUCUACACCAUAGUCGAUGAUCGUGGAUGUCUUGGUUUUCUGAGUCGUACACGUGUCCAACUUUUACAAGUAUCCACAUGAGAUCUUGAUCUAAUUAGAGGCUCCUUAAUCUCAUUGGAGUACUAGCUCCCUUGCAAAAAUCACUUUCUGAUUGUUGAUUGGAGAUCUUCUUCACUUCUCUCAGACCCUCUCAGAAAAAAAGAUUUGGAGGAAGAGGAAAAGAAAGAUGAAGAUGGGAGAAACCCUUUCUCACGUUUCUUUUUCUCUCUUCCCAAAACCCCAUGCCAAGAAAGGAUUCACGCCUAAGAUGCCUCACUCCCAACCCCUUCCUCUCUUCUUUUCUCAUGAUAAAAAAUAAUUUUUUUCUCUUAACCCAUGCCCAAAAGAAAUCCCUUUUUAUUUUCAUGCAAUAGGGAUUAGGUCAUACCUAAUUUAGAUAAGGAUUCAAAUUUAAAUGAGACCUUAUCUAAAUCCUUUUGGGCAUUGAGAAAGGGGGCAUCAAAAAGGGAUUUGUGUGGCUUCUCUCCUACAAAAACACCAUGAGAAAAAUUAGCAUGAAGUAGUUUGUGGCAUGGCUUAUGGUGCGGGUGCUAGGGAGAGAGAGUCCCAGUCCAAUGGGACUCUCAAGGUGCUUCAUUAAAAUCCCAACCAAAUCUGAUUUGGACACCCAAGGAGUGGAGAAAAUCUAAUCCAAUUAGGAAUCCAAUCUCCCUAACAAGAACCUAAUCUCAUUAGGAAGUUAGUUAAACUCAAAUCUUGAUCAAAUCAGAAAUUAAUCUCCCUUAUAAUUGGUUAUCUCAUAACUCAAUUAGGCUUGAUCUAAUCGAACCCA
rnacentral:lncRNA from 1 species